UGUUCAUUAAUACUCACUGAUGACUCAUUUCAGAAUGCUCAGAGCCUCUUGAGCCUGCUCUUGCAUGGUUGUGGCUAAAGAGAUUCUCCUGCCUACUCACCAGAUGCAUUUUACAGCCUAAGCAGUGCAGUUCGCCGAGGUGUUUCAGCCAAUGUUAAUGAAGUGGAAUUUAUGGCAAAGGUUGAAAGAUGGAAUAACAAAACAGGCAAGUGGUGGACUGAUGUUUCUGGAGGCCUCCCCUGUUUGCAAGAAGUUUCAUCCUGUUCUCUGUUUUGUGGCCCCAUAUUUUCAUCAGGAUUUCCUCUCUACAGUACUGAGAGUAGCUAAGUCCUCUGUGUGAUGCCAGUUAUGAACCACCUGAAUACCUGAGCAGAGCAGCCACACAGUUCUUAACCCACCACCCUGUGCUUCAGGGCGACUUCAGAUACUGAGGAAGUUAUAGAUCUCCAGUAACCUAUACACUGACUGCCUAUGAAUUUCUGGGUGGAGAUGUACUUGCCAGAAUUAUAAAGUAUUGUGCCUGAGAAACUACUGUGACACUUCUUGAAGCUAUUUCUUCAUUUGUAUCAGAUCUGCAGAGCCUGAUGUGCUGGCCUUACUUUAUGAAGUUGCUCCUCACCCAGAAGUUUCUACUUUCGAUGGGAAAAUCAGUGCAAGAGUCUUCAUCGGACUUAGUUCAACAUCAGCCUCAAUUCAUUUCCCUUUACCAUAUGUUGUUCUGAUCAAAAACAUCUUCAUAAAUACCAGAUCCUGGCUCACAGAUUUAUUCUGCUCAUUUUGUAACAGUGCCUGUUGGGCAUCACGGUGUUUUUGUUUUACAGUUCAACUGAGACACUUGAAAGCGGACAUACAGAACAAUUUUCAAGCAAGCAUUCUGGCUUGGCAGCCUCUAUUCCCAUUGAAGCAAAAGUGAGUUUUACAGAUUUCACUGAAGACAAAGCUACACCAGGAACAAAUACAUCCAAGCUGUCCAACCUCUCUCCAAGCUGUCUUGUCUUGUAGGUGAAUGCUCUUCCUUUUAAAGAAUAUGCUGAAAGGGACUAAACAAAUAUGUAGAGAGAUUAUCUACUGUGACAUCUGUGACAUCUAAGAUGAAUGAAU
rnacentral:lncRNA from 1 species